rnacentral:miRNA from 1 species
AUACUCACCGACUCUCAAGCUGGUGUGAGGGCCAGCUAGGCUGGAACCUCAGUCUGUCCGAGACUCCCCACCACACCCUGCUGCUGGAGAGAGCUCAGCGAGGCUGUGCUCAGUGCUGGGG